UUCGCAAUGCCCGAAAGGGUGACGAAGCGACGCCGCGUGGGUGAGGAAGGCCUUCGGGUUGUAAAGCCCUGUCAGGAGUUAAGAAAUGUAGACUCGCUAAUAUCGGGUCUAUUUGACAAAGGCUCCAAAGGAAGCCACGGCUAACUCUGUGCCAGCAGCCGCGGUAAUACAGAGGUGGCAAGCGUUGUUCGGAAUUAUUGGGCGUAAAGAGCACGUAGGUGGAUUUGUAAGUCAGACGUGAAAGCCUUCUGUUCAACGGAAGAAUUGCAUCUGAAACUACAAACCUUGAGUGUAGGAGGGGAGAAUGGAACUUCUGGUGGAGCGGUGAAAUGCGUAGAUAUCAGAAGGAACGCCGGCGGCGAAAGCGAUUCUCUGGCCUAUUACUGACACUCAGUGUGCGAAAGCUAGGGGAGCAAACGGGAUUAGAUACCCCGGUAGUUCUAGCCGUAAACGAUGGGCACUAAGUAGAGGGGUUUU
rnacentral:rRNA from 1 species